rnacentral:rRNA from 1 species
CCUACGGGAGGCAGCAGUAGGGAAUCUUCCGCAAUGGACGAAAGUCUGACGGAGCAACGCCGCGUGAACGAUGAAGGCCUUCGGGUCGUAAAGUUCUGCUGUUAGGGAAGAACAAGUGCUAGUUGAAUAAGCUGGCACCUUGACGGUACCUAACCAGAAAGCCACGGCUAACUACGUGCCAGCAGCCGCGGUAAUACGUAGGUGGCAAGCGUUGUCCGGAAUUAUUGGGCGUAAAGCGCGCGCAGGCGGUUUCUUAAGUCUGAUGUGAAAGCCCCCGGCUCAACCGGGGAGGGUCAUUGGAAACUGGGAAACUUGAGUGCAGAAGAGGAAAGUGGAAUUCCAAGUGUAGCGGUGAAAUGCGUAGAGAUUUGGAGGAACACCAGUGGCGAAGGCGACUUUCUGGUCUGUAACUGACGCUGAGGCGCGAAAGCGUGGGGAGCAAACAGGAUUAGAUACCCUGGUAGUCCACGCUGUAAACGAUGAGUGCUAAGUGUUAGAGGGUUUCCGCCCUUUAGUGCUGAAGUUAACGCAUUAAGCACUCCGCCUGGGGAGUACGGUCGCAAGACUGAAACUCAAAGGAUUGACGGCUGAGAGNGCGAGACGACGACGAGGGAGAGG